CCCUUAGAUGUUCUGGGCCGCACGCGCGCUACACUGAUUCAUGCAACAAGUUUUGUCCUUGGCUGAUAGGCCUGGGUAAUCUUUGAACGUGAAUCGUGAUGGGGAUAGAUGAUUGCAAUUAUUCAUCUUCAACGAGGAAUUCCUAGUAAACGCAAGUCAUCAGCUUGCAUUGAUUACGUCCCUGCCCUUUGUACACACCGCCCGUCGCUCCUACCGAUUGAAUGGUCCGGUGAAAUCUUCGGAUCUGAGAGAUGUCUGAUUAAUUUCGGACGCCUUUUGGAAAAGUUGUUUAAACCUUACCAUUUAGAGGAAGGUGAAGUCGUAACA
rnacentral:rRNA from 1 species